rnacentral:tRNA from 1 species
AAAAAGUUAGUUAAAACAUAAUAUAAGGUUGUCAGUCUUACGUUACUAAAUUAAACUUAGUACUUUUUA